CCUAAGCUAUGUAGCAGCCCCAUUUGAGCUUAAGACUAACGUCUGCGUGGAACCGCAGCAAUUCAACAUUCAAACGAAAGACUUCUUUCUACCAUCACUACAACAGAUUGGUGACAGUAUCAAAGACAUUCGAGAAUUCUACUGUCCUCGUGGUAAACUUAGCAUUGUGCCUAAAAGCCUUACCGCCAGUCUAAAGAGGA